CCACAGCUGUCAGCACACAGGGGCCGGCGGCCAGCCCUCCUGGGAACAAUCCUGGUUACGGAAUUCCUUGCGUAGGAGAAAAACAAUAACUUCCAGUUGAACAAGAGCUAAAAGAAGGGAAGAUGUGACGGCAGCUCCAUUGAACAAUUUCUCUAAGUACAGACAGGCACCGCUUUCCACCCUCUGGUCACGUUCCACCUCCCAUUCUCAGGAAUUCUCUGGUAGGUGCACCUUGUUCAGAUAAGAACUGCACAGCAUUUCUUCGUGGGCCCCUGCAAGCCAUCCUUUGCAAUGGCACAGCCUCUAAACUUGGAGUUUUGCGGCCGUGGCCAAGCCCAGUUCUAAUGGACUCAACUUCAUAUAUGAAGAAAGAUAUCAAGCAAAAUCAACACAUAAAAUGGAAUCUGGAGAUCAAAGAUACUACCAGGAGCAAAAGAAAAGUCCAAAAUAAUUAAAAUAACUAUAUUAUUCUUAGAGAGUUUCAUUCAUUUAACCAAUAUUAAUGAGUGUCUUUUAAGUGCCUAUUAUAAAAACUGGAUGAGAGAUAAAAUAUAAUGUUGUAUCUAUAAAAUUAGAAUAGAACAUUGUGAAAAGAGAUGACAAAAAAAUAGAAAAAAGAUAAGAGACCUAAAGGAUAUAUUCAGCAUCAAAACGAUGAGUUCUAGAAAGCAGGAACAUAGUUGAGAGUAAAAUGUCAAAAGAAUACUUGAAGGGAAUUUCUCAGAUGUGAAGAAAAGAGUUUCCUUAUUGAAAGCACCCAGUGAGGCCUCAAGACAAUGAGGAAAAAAGGAUCACACCCAAGCAAAACCAAG
rnacentral:lncRNA from 1 species